CUGACCUGAAGUCCAAACACAUUUACUGUAAUCUUAACACAUGCCUUCUUUAUCUGGAGCCCUAAGCCUUUGGGGCUGGAUUCUUGUGUAAUGGGACGGGGAAGCACUGCUGGAAAGGGGCUGGGAGUAUCCGAACGGGGACUCGGUGCCCAUAUUUGUCAGGCUGGGCAGCUCCUUUCCCGCUGCUGUGUGUGGCCUCCGGGGCAGACAUCGAAGCUGCGCAACUGUGACUCAGCUAGAAAACGCUGAUCUAACUGGAAUAAAAUGCACUACAAAGGCUGAGGACGGCCGUGCAACAUCGCAGCGCGGUUUUGACCCCUCGGCUGAACUGUCCGACUUUUCAUCAGUCUGCAAAGCCCUUCGAAUACAGCUCUGAAAUGAAGGCUGAUGGAGCCCUGACCUUGUCCAGAAGGACUCCAUUUAGAAAUUCAAAUUCCCAUUUCAAAAACUAAUGGUCUCUUGAAAAGCUUAUAAUGAUAAUUGCAGGGCUGGAUGUAGGGACAGCGCCUGGCCGUCACAGCCUGGAUCUGCUGGCUGUCCCUGCAGAAAUCCACCCCUGCAGGAGCCACUGGCUGCUCUGAGCCCUCGCUGCUCGGGGCACUGCUGGGUCUGCCUCUCCCGCUGCCUACACUGUUAGCACCCUCUCCUAUUGCUGGCUGCUGGGGUGGUCAGGUGGAGUCAGCAUAAAUAUAGCAGCAAAACACAGACUGCGUGUUUUGGUAGCUAGCAGGGUAAGAGCUGAACUCUCUCCCCUCCCAUACCAGCUAGAUGCAGCAUAGAAAGUUGUGUUAUAGGCAGAUGCAUGAACCAACUGCUCCUUCUUUUCCCAACCUUCUCGUCAAACAAGUAGUGCUUGCUGAAUCCUUCGACGUGCCAAGCUCAUGCUGAAGGCUGCAGGUUUCCUUCUCUAUAACAGGCAAGAGAGCUUGGGCUGUCUGCAGCCGACUCGGGAUAGCUCUGUGAUCUGCAGAUGGAAAAGGAGGGAAUUCCUUUCUUCCUUCUGCAAGGGCGUUUGGCAAGAGGUGUCCACCCUCUAAUAAGAAGCCCAGCAGGUAACUGAAGAAAGGGAAGCUUUAAAGGAAAAUAAAGCGAACAAAGCUAUGGAGCAGCUCAAAUGCUAACACCACAUUUCAAAGGUCUCCUUCCAUGGAUAGUUCCACGUCCCUGGAAAGAUUCAGAAGAUGGUUGGUGCUGAUGGCUGUCCAGAGGGAGCUUCUCAACAUGCUUUCAGAAGCAGUGUUUUGCACUGGAAAUUGUGUCUUGUGGAGUCCUAUCGUUAGCCUGCUGCCUUUACAUUUUCCCAAACAGCACAGAUGGAGUGAAUUGGAACAGCAUGGCGGUAUUACUUGGUUGGUUGGGUCCUCCUACUAUUACUACACAGAAAAAGAGCUUUAAUUAUGGAGCAAAAACUCCUUCUGUUAGAGUCCAUGUACAGAAAGAAAAGGGUCCUUCUUCUGGUGGGACGAUGCAGCACACAAGGCCAAGAAACCUUUCUGGAAUAUGGCUCCUGACAACUCAAAGAGCCCUGCAGAAACCCAGGCAGCAUGCUACAGCAGCCUAAAAGACAUCCCCGUUUACACCAGGGCUGUUUCACCGCGGAGAGCAUCACCGCUGGCUGAGGAUCGAGCUGUGGGUGCCCCUCCAGCAGCAUCCCCACGGAUAAGGGUCCAUGCCCCACAUGUGGCACCGGUCCUGUGGUCAUGAAGGACGAUGGCAGCAGUUGCCCCGUCCCCAUUCCCGGGCACAUCUCUGCAGCUCUGUAAUGCCAUCCAGAUGUCGGCGCGGCUCCGCAGCCCGACGGCUGCAUUUCACCAUUAACAUACUUGUUUUAUGACAGAGCGGGAUCAUUACAAUCGUCACAUUAUUCUGUUUCUUUUUUUCCCCUCUCCUAUUAGUAGAGACACUGAUUAUUAUUUUAAUGGGGAGAAACAAGUUCCCCAUGUCCUUUUCCAGUCCUAAAAAUACAAGACUAUUUUCCAGAGAAGCUUAUGAUUGUAGAUUUAAAUGUUCGACUCGAAUACAUUAAAGUGCCCUAGAUUUUAAGGAGAAAAAGCGAGUCCUGAUACUCAGAGGAAGGUAGGGCACUUAAGCUGACUUACAGCAGUGUAAUUAUUGGUAUUGUCAGAUCUUAUAAUCUACAAAAUUAUUCUUAGGCACACAUUUCAUUCACAAAAAUGUUUCUAAAAUAAUUUCAGGACUUCACUCGAAGACUGUUUAUUUUGGAAAAAUAUAAAUCAUUGUUCCCUUUAAAAACAUUUCAGCUCAGAGAGCUGUAAUAUUUUAUUUGUGUUGAAAGAAGGCAGGGUUUAUUAAAUAUUAAUAUGUGGUUUACAGCACGGGUUAAAGUUCCCCUCUUAAUAUAUGCUAUAACUUUGCUCAAGAGACUUCAUUCCUGAGGGAAUAUAAGUUUCUGCUUAAGGGACUUGAAGACAGAGAAACAAUAUAAUCACAGUUUAUAAAAAUGCCAAUAUAUAGUAUGCUUUCUGCCCAAAAUGUUGUGAAUGUUCAUGAUAAUUAAUGGCAUGAACUAAUUAAUGGCAGCAUAUAAAUAAGACACCUGGCACAGUGCCUUGCUGAGCACAGGUCAUGUACUCAUGUCCCUGACCUGCUUCUACAUCAGGAGCUUAUUUUUGAGACCCUUGAAGCUGAGACAGGCACCGGCAGGUGUGCCAAGGCCAGGCCGUGACAUUAAGGACUGGUCAGAGAAAAAGACACAGAAAAUGCCAGGGGUAGGCACCAGGAGAGAAAGAUUUAGUAAAAAGGGAAAAUGCAGAUCCUCAAUCAGGGAAGACGAGGUGCAGAAGGGAGUUGUGCAGCCAGGUGAGUGGGAAUUGUGCCUUUCAGUAGAAGCCUGUGGAAACUGAGUGUAAAUCAUGAAAAGGCAGUGGGAUUUCAGCUUUUAAAUCAUGCAGGGACCUUUGGCAACUGUAACAUGAAAGUCUUUGAAUCCGCAGAGAUGAGGGAAAAGCUUAAGGAGGAGAUUUUUCAAAGGCUUGGUGGGGAGGUAGCUGUUUAUUGAAUAUUUAUCAAGACUUUUGAUGGUACACAGACAACUUCCAUGCUGGUUCAGUGGCCAUCAGCCAUCUCUGGGCAUGGAGGGCAUGUGACAGGGAAUGCUGUGUUAUUUCCACUUCUUUAUACCACAGAUUAGCAUAAAUAAAUAAAUCAAUUAAUUAAUAGAUCUCCUUGAAGAUGUGAUAACCCUAGUGGAACAAUUCUGUAAUAUCUGCUAAAAGCUGUGUGUGAUUCUGGAUGGUGAACUUUCAGAUGGGAACCUUUCACACGUGUUCAGUGUGUUGACUCUCAUUUAAAUUCUCAUAAAUCCAUCCUUGAAGUUUUUGCUCCUUCAGAUUUAAAAGGCAGAACUGCUUUUUUUUUUUUUUUUUUUUGCUUGGGGAGUCAAGACCUUUAUAGUCUCAAAAUGGCUUUUUUUUUCUUUCCUUAAAGAAAAUAUAAUUGCAUACAAACUGUAACCCCCUCUAAACAAUUCUCAUCGGUUCCCUGAAAGUGUCUUCUAGACUGAAUUGUAAAUCACCAUGAAGUGCACCCCAAAAAAAAAAAAAAAAAAAAAAAAAACAGAAAAAGAAAAAUAAAAUCAGGGCAUAAAUGAGUUUUGGAGCUGUCUAGUCUGGGAUCUGUAAUUAAAUCAAGGAGACUUUCUGAUCUAUAGAAGGGUCAGUGUAACAGGGCAGUGCUUUGAACCACGGUCUCAUUAAGAUACAAUUGCCUUCUUCGCUUCCCAGAUUGUUUAUAACAGAGGGCUUAUUCCUAAGCAGUCAAUAACUGGAGAGCAUAAAUCACUGCACAGAAAGAGUUGUUCCUGGUUUAUGGGCCAGAUCCUCAGCUGGUAUAAAUCACUGUUGCCCCAAUGAUGUCACCUAACUCAUGCUUUAUUUAUACAAUCCAAAGAUCUGUCUCAUACUGUUCUCAUUUUAUUGGCUUUUAUUGACUCAUUCUGUAGGCACAGAUUCUCAUAUAUAAAAUGAAGGUGGAGAUAAUUGAGGUAUGUGAAAAGUAGUUUUGUAAAAUUUUCAAGGGAAUAUCUGAAUCAUUCUCUUCCUUCCCCUUUCAUUUUAUUAAAAAAGAGUUACCAUCUGAAUUUCUGUCAACUCAUAACCAUUUCCCUAAAUACCACCUUGGUCACUUUGCACUCGUUCUUUUGCAAAAUGUUCCAGUGGUCUUUGCAUGAUGUAAUGGAGCUGCUUCUAGGUGCUUCUGAAUUCAGAAAGGAUGUCCCCAGGCUGACCAGGGGACAGUCAGAUUUACAUCUGAAUUUCCAGGUGUGUGAAGCACCGCCUUACAAACAGUGCUACGUGGGAGCCUUCAGAUUGCCCCGUGCUUCAUUUAGGGCUAUAACAAAACAGAGAGGUGGAUCUCCACAAUCUCCUUCCAAGAUGAAGAUCACUUUUGGUCCCUUGGCCAAGCAAUCUGGCAAUAUUCACCAGGCCUGCACAGCUCCUCUACCAAAGCAGUAUUACCGGUUGUUAAUUAAACUUACAAAAGCUCCUUUUCCUUUUUGUUCCGGUAGUUGCUAUGAGCAAAUCUGGCAGCAUGAAGUCCUUUUUAUAUGUCCUGGUUGUAUUUCAUCACUCUGAUGUCAGGACUGAUGUCACUGGUGUCAAUACGGUAUUUAUGAAGCUGCAGAUCAAUGUUAAAUACUGGAUUUGGGAUCCAUUGACAGAGUUAGAGCUCUGACUACAUUUGACCUUCUUUAGCUGCCUGGGAGCCAGAGGGGAUUUUCCAUGUCAUUCAGUUAAAGGAGUUUCCACUGCAUGGCUUUCUCCUCUCACUGCAUGGUAUUGCAGUGAAUACAGUCAUUUGAAAAAAAAAAAAAAAAAAGAAAAAAAAAAAGAUAAUAAAAAGUCUCCAAGGAAAUAGUAAAAAUUUAUGAAAGAAAUCUCCAGAGAACAAAACAUCAAACUGGCAGACACUGAACAUUAGAAAACAGCCAAGGAAUAUUGUGAAAAAUUGAUGAGCAGAGCUGCAGAUACUUGAAGACAAUAAACAAGCAGAAUCUACUUAAUUAGGGAAGAUUGCGAUGUUAUUUCUCUAGGUUAACUUUUAUGUCCACCCAGAACUUUGGCACACAGAUAAUGACAGGCCCAGGCAUUUGAGUUUGCUGCUGUUCCUUUUGCGAAACACAGAAAUUACGUCCACCUUUUUCCCAUGAAAAACUACCAGAAUUUUAUUCCAAGCUGUUUCACAAAUCAAAGCUGUUGCUACAGCAAGGGUGAAAUAUUCACCGGCUCUGCUUACUGGCCUCCUCCUACCAUCAAAUUCAUCACAGGGACUUGCUGGAGCUCUGCUUUCUGCCCAGAAAGCACUGGAAGGAGAGAAGAUGAAGCUGUGAGGAGAAGCACAGGCACAGGAUGCAAUUUUGCCCAGGCUGUGGCUAUUCCCUUCCUGCAGCCAUGCAAUGCAUAGCUUCUUUCUUGAUGGAGCUUUUCAUUAGAAACAUAACAUAUGUUUAUGAACAAGAAAUAGGAGUUAUUUAAGGACCUUUAUCUGGCAGGAUAUGAAGAAAACAGCAGAGGAGAUGUGCUCUGCAGGAGCAGGGUGCUGGAGAAAGAUGCAAACCUUCGCACUCCAGCUCUCCUCAGCCCAGAGGCUGUUUCUAGAGGCUGUUUCUGAAGUGUAUACAUUUUCCUUCUGACAGUUUAGAUAUACAUGUGUAAAUAUAUGUAUAUAUAGGCUGGGUUCAUGCUCACCACCUGCAAGUGCAUUGCCUUCACUAAUCCAUCAGUCUUCCAUCAGCUCUAUUGGACUCUCUCAAGAGAUCUGGAGGAUUCAAACCCUCACAGGUGGCAGAAUUUCUUCCUGAACUCGUGAUGACACUUUCCCUUAACUUCCUCUGAGCCUGGAGAUCUUUCUUAUGCUCCUAAUCUCCCUGAAACCAUCAUUUCUUAUCCAAAGCUGCUUAAGCAGUUGGAGAGUAACGUUCAUUUCCAGGCAAUAUGUGCACAAACUUGGAUGAGGGCUGGUUAGCAAACGGAGCUGGCUGUAAUCCGGAAUAAAAUUAAACCUUAAUCACUGGGUUCGGGAGGAUAGAUUUGUCACUGCCCGGCCAACAUGUAUCUUAAUAAACACAUUCAUUCCCGCGGAGCACAAAUCCAUUCAUAUCCACUGGCUUAAACGGAUGUGCAUCUGCGCGCGGGGACUGGGGAUUUUGCCCCCUCUGAAGCAGUGCUUCGCCAUGAAGAGAGGCUUACGUACGAGCACUGGCCCUUAUGGCAGGGAUGUGGCUGUGGCUGAGUUAAGCUCACAUCUGCAGGCUGGGAAGGGCUGAAUCCUGCCAGGGGCUCUGCCUGGGCACCAUGUCAGUGAGGGGCAUCUUCAGCCCCACCAUGGAGAGGGGGUAUCUGAGCUGCAGAUGGAUGAGGGGCUCCUUUCCGUGUCGCACUGGACCAUGGCAGAGGUUAGAAAUCAACCUAGGUCUCCUGAGCCACCGCCCUGUGCACUAACCACAUUUUUCGUCCUCUCCAUUUCUCAACUGCUAGUAAUUACUCUUAGAAAUGCUCUGGAAGCCAAAACAAACAAGCGAGAUAUUUCCAGUGAGCUUUCAGUUUGUUACUAAUCCUUCAAAGACGGUUCUGUCCACAAGGCAAUACAGCAAGUUAUCAUGUUGCUAAGCCCACUUCUCUGCUUUGCGUGUUUGUGGCAUCGUUUCUCUCUGAUGAACGAAUUUGCGUAUGAGCUGACAUCUCCCUCUUUGGACUGGAUGUUUUCUCUCUCACAUGAUGGGAAAAACAAAUUCCAUGCUGAAUCAGAACCCAGCCGGCACAGCUAAUAUGACCUGGAUUUGUUUCAGGGGACAGGGAUUUUGGUCACCCAGGGCCUACCUCAGAACCAACUGGAAGUAAUUUUGUGCAUUUUUUUUUUCCCCGCUGUACUCCAAAGUACUACCUCAUGAGCACUGCAUCCUGGGAUGACAGUAAAUAUCUGCAGUCACUGAAUAUGUGUUUUGCUUGUGUUAUUUUUUUAUGUUUUUUACUAUUGCUUAUCUCUAUGUUUAAAUAGAAUCUGUUAAAAAAAAAAAAAAAAAAAA